AUCAACGUGCUGUCAACGUUUACGCCUCAUUCCAUUUUGCGAUACUACAGGGAGGGAGAACUUGGAUUAAGUGCGGCAUUUUAAUCUAUUCAUGGUUUGACUACAUUUUUGGUCGUAAAACGCAUCAUUGUAACGUUAAGUGCAUUGACUUUUUAUUUUGAUUCAGGUGACUUUAUCCAGCUGUAUAGUUGUGAAUGAUCUAGCUAGCUGGAUGACUUGAUAUUACAAACGGCAAACUCGCAAAGAUAGUUUACUUUCUACAAUUUUGUGAAAUGUGUUUGGACAUCAUGGAUACUAAAGUGGAAUUCGAAGUACUGAAACCUUGCUACACCAGAAGAUCUGCCAAACUUUCAAAGUGCAGACUGAGGAAACUUCUCCAUUUGAGUUCCAAGGAAGGCCUGAAACGGUGGCGCACCAACAUUGUCAAAGCCACUCUCAAAAAAUACAUUCGCUGCGAACAGAAGAGGCUACUCGCUAAACUCGUCAACCAAGAACAACUUUUGACCGAAGAUAUGAGGUACAUGGCGACCGAGAAUAUCGGCAGAAUUACACGACCACUAGGCGCAAUGGCGCCCAAGAACACAACACAGUAUCUGAUGGGCAUUGUAUACGACGACACACAUAUCGAAACCAGUUCCAACCAGUUUGAAAUGUCUGUUUCUAGUGCCUCUCUUUCACCCAGGAGCGCGUGUGAAAGUUCUCUUGAUUUUCAACAGAGGGACUUCGACGAAAUGUAUCUCCAUUUUGGAUCAUGUUGAUCAAGAUUGAACCGGUCUGUGGCCGACCUGACCUAUGCAUUGACUCUAAACCUCGCAAAUCAAGCGACGCACCGGACGCUGCCCGUCAGUAGGGGGCGCUCGCUCGCAGCGUUGCUUCCGGUGGAGUUGAGUCCACCUACCUCUGCCCUUGCCUCCGCUAAGGUAUCCCAGGUAAACCUGCUUCACCUACAGGUAAACGUGGCAGGUAGUUGAGUGAUCCAGUAAGGUUCUAUGGUGCAAUUUGACUUAAUUUGGUUGCAUUUCUUUAUGACCCAACUACAGGUGUAGUCGAUAUGGAGUAAUUUGCCUGUUGGUCGACUUGGUUGUAUACGCAGUACCCAUAUGUGUUCACAGCUAUCCACUAUCAGUGCUGUAUUUACUCUUGUGCGAGCCUUUUUCAGGUCACUCCAUCCUUCCACUUGCCUCCUACCUGACUGCAUUCAGCUCGGCUGUUGCCAGAUCGAUGGACACAUGAGGAUGACUGAGGAAGGAAGUAAGGUUUAAAGUCCACCUCACGUGUUGCAUCUCUAAUGUACACUUCAUGGGUAAUGCUGACUUGAUAAACAAUCAUGUUACCAAAAGCAACUGUUUUGGUAAUAUUACAUAUAUUUGUUACCCAUAGCAAAGACAUUCAAUCCAUGUUUUUGAUUACUUAAAAUGUAAACGGUUCUGUUUAAAAACAUGUAGCCGAUGACAUCCGUGUAAAUGUGUUGUAUGUGUCUGGACAUGUUGUGAGCAAUCCUAACUUCCUAGUUAAAUGCUCUUGUGAAUAAAAAAUGUAUGACCUGA